rnacentral:rRNA from 1 species
AGCAGCCGCGGUAAUUCCAGCUCCAAUAGCGUAUAUUAAAGUUGUUGCAGUUAAAAAGCUCGUAGUUGAAUUUCGGGAUUGACACAUCGGUCGUGCCUUAAGGGGCAUGAACUGGUGUAGUCAGUUUCUCACCUUCUGGAGAACCGCGAUGUCCUUAAUUGGGUGCCGCGAGGAACCAGGACCUUUACUUUGAAAAAAUUAGAGUGUUUAAAGCAGGCAUUUUGCUUGAAUACAUUAGCAUGGAAUAAUAAAAUAGGACGGAUGGUUCUAUUUUGUUGGUUUCUAGGAUCACCGUAAUGAUUAAUAGGGAUAGUUGGGGGCAUUAGUAUUCAAUUGUCAGAGGUGAAAUUCUUGGAUUUAUUGAAGACUAACUACUGCGAAAGCAUUUAGCCAAGGAUGUUUUCAUUAAUCAAGAACGAAGUUAGGGGAAUCGAAGACGAUCAGAUACCGUCGUAGUCUUAACCAUAAACUAUAGCCGACUAGGAAUCAGACGAUGUUAAUUUUUAAUUGUACUCGUUUG